UAUUGAGCAUGCUAUACUAACACUGCUCAACUUAUCUCGUUCUUUCCAAAAGGAAAACCAAUCCUCACUCCUCAUUUCCGCAACAGCAACGCUUCCUCCUUCUUCGCCAAUCACCUUACAGGCGUGCUACGUUCACAACGUUUUCUUAUCUGGUUAAAUAAAGGUUUUACAACAAAGAGGAUGCAGGAUAAAGUGACAGAAAUUGAAAUUUUUGUAUUGUAAUAUACAUCAGGAAGUGUAGUGUAAGAAAGUGUUAAAAAUAAAACCAUCAAAAGCCAUCUGCUUUUGUAUAAAGAUAAGUUAGGUUAAAUGAAAAUAUUAUUAUUAUUAUUAUCUAUCUUACGGUAUAUCAAAAAUAAUUUGAGCAAAAUUUAAUUGAAAUAUUGUCAGUGUGGCCCUCCAGCAGUGCUCGGGUUGCUCAUGCGGCCCCCGGUAAAAAUUAAUUGCCCACCCCUGGUCUACAGAGUCAAAGAUUGCCUGACAGGCAGAGAGAGAGUCGUUCACCGGAAUCUACUACUCUCUGUUAGCUUCCUGCCAUGUGACAGAGACCUGGACAAUGUCUCUGGGCACUCUGAAUGUGACGCUGCUGCACAUGGAAGUGAUGUAUGUCCUGACGUGCCUGAUCUGGUGGAAGACAGUGAUGUACGUACAGUCAACUGGCUGAUGCGGACGGGUGAAGCGGAAGUCCAUUCAGAAGAGGAAGUCCAUUCUGAAGAGGAGGAUGACUCGUUUGACCGGAGGUCUGAUGCUGCUCAGUCUGACUCUCUCUCAGUCACUGCGUCCAGUCAGGACAGUCAGCGAGUCCCUGAAGAUGUUGACUAUGCUGCUGUUAAUGGUGCGGAAGGCUCACCACAGUGCUCUGAAGAUAUAGUCUCUGACACAGAAGUUGCCCCUCCCGUAACUGUCCAUCCAGAUGUGACCCCUUUGGACACUGACUCUACUGACAUGUCCCCUCCUGACAAUAUCCCCACAGACGUUGCUCCUCCUGACAAAGACCUUCAACAAGACAUUGACCCCCCGGACACUGAUGCUCCUGAGACAGCCAUUCUUGACACUGACUUUCUGAACAGUGACGUUCCAGGCCCUUUAGUUCAAGCAAUUUGCACACAGCCUGGCCGUUAUGGUCUCAGGGAUCGUAGUUCUAUGAACCCUCCACAACGCCUUAUUUGCCAGAUGAAUAAGCAAGUAGUAGAUGAAGAUUCUGUGUCCACAGUAUCAGUUAGUAUCUUGUUUAAGUUCUUUAGAGAUGCAAUUUCAGUUUGAGUUAUGGAAGUAUUUGACCAAAGAAGAGUCUAAGUAGUACUUGAAGCUAUAGGAACAACAUUUUGCAUUUCAGAGGUGUAACAGGCAUCUCUGAGUCUGUGUUUAGUUAGGAGAUUGAUCACCUUCUUUCUUUCCACACUCCUUUUUGAGAGAGUUUUAGAACUGACAUGCACAACAGUUUUGUUCCUAGUAAUGCACUUAUUUUUUUUGUUUUUGUCUCAAGUGUUGCACUCCUAAAUUUAGCAGAAUUUCAGGGGGGUGUAUGUAACGAGUAUAAGAAAUACUUUGAUUAUUUGAGUGAAAUUCCUGCUAAAAUAUGUAUAUUGGUUUGUUAUGCAAUGAGAGGUCCAAUUGCGCCAUCUGCUGGUACCUGAAAAGUCUGUAGAUAUUACCGCAAACCGGAAGCUAUUAGUAGACUUCCUGUUCUCUGCUAAUGGUAAGACACGUUUUGAUAUUGCUCUGCAAAAUAUUAUAAAUUACACUAAAGGUAACGUGAGAUUUAUUGUAAGAUACACAGUUAUUUAAUAGCAGUUGAAAUGCUAUGUUGUGGAAUUUUCGUUUUGAAUUGGUUGUUGCUCACGUCAGAUGUCCUACUAUUUUGCACUGAAGUCGAUAUUAUUUUCCCCCUGUAGACAUCGAAAGCAGCAGAGGUGCUAACCACAUAUUGUGUGUAUGUGCUCUCUGAUCACUCAUUGCAGGUAAUAAUUGUUGCACUAUGUGCGUUUUACGUGUCAAGACGUUCAUAUUUAAAUUUGUAUUGUUCGCCAUUUUAACAUGGGAACAACGUGGUCUGUCAUAUUCGCUAGUCACCAUUAGAGGGUGCUAAAAGUCAAUUUAAUUAUUUGUGUCAUGUCUUGUAUUGUAUUUUGUAUUUUUCUAUGCUCUAUUUCAUAAAUAUAUAAAAAAGGAUGAUGUUGGUUAAAAACCAAGUUAAAAAUAUGUUGUAUUGAAUUAAUUGUAAUACCAUUAAAGAUAAAAGCAAGUUAAAACCACUAUACGAUCACACACGAAAAAAGAAUACUGUUAAAAACCAUUGUAUUAAGUUACAUCUGUAAUUGCAUUUCAUGUAAUUGUGAAAAUAUGAAGAUGUUAUGUACUUGGGUAGACUUCCUGUUCUCUGCUAAUGACAUCGAAAGCAGCAGAGGUGCUAACCACAUAUUGUGUGUAUGUGCUCUCUGAUCACUCAUUGCAGAUCACUCAUUGCAGCUACCAGUAAAGAACCACAUCAUCCAAUCCAGCCUGUGUGUGGGUUCUUGGCGGGACGGGUACACAGCAGUUACAUAUAUAUACUUGAUAUAUAAUAAAUCUUUGUAUAUACUGCCCCCUGGUGUCUGAGCCGUCACCUCCCCUUAGUCCAACCAUAACAUAACCAUUUGUUACACGGUCUGUGAUCGCAAUGAGGGGCGGCCAAUUUCGCUUCAAAUCUGAGCUACAAGCGACAAAUCUAGCGACGUUUCCUGGUGAUAUUGGAUACCUUGUUGAGUCUUGGAGACUGAAGUGAAAACAAAGCAGCAGUCACCAUCCUCAGUGAGCAGUGACGGCUGCUGCCGGUCAGCUGGUGCUGCUGCGCCGAUAGCUACAUGCGAGCAUGAUUGCUAGUUAUAUCAACAACAAGCAGAGGAGAACGCCACCGCAUGUCAGACAUCUAACAUCUGUGAAGACCAAGUCCUGCAAGAAGAUGUCAUUGAUAUCACCACAGCUGAUCUGUCGAAUGAUACCUUGAAGAGGCACAAUUACAGCAAGGAUGAACAAGCUGUACAACACAAACAAGAGCAUCAACUUGCAACUACAGACUGAAUUUGAAUGCAUUUUGCUUCCUGGAGAAUGUUGGACAUCUGUAAGUAAUCAUAGCAAGUUGGGGUCGCAUCGUUGUAAAAAAAUAAAUCAGCAUUGUCCUCUA